CAUCAUGGAUUCUUCGGAAAGCAUCAUAAGCAUGGCUUCGUACUGUACAUGUCGCCGUAUUUUUGGUGUCAAUUCCUGCCAAAUCGAACUCUUACACCUUAGCUAACCUCCCAAGGCUGUAAAUGAAAGGAGUUCCUGUGGCACUAAACGAUAGCGAGAUGGAAUCACAGAGGAUGCUCUAGCAAAAUUUUGCUCACAAAUGGUUUUAAAUUAUUACUUAUCAUCUCUGGGGCCUUCGCGUUUAGUCACAUAAAAAACAAAAACACACUGCUUUUUUUCGGGUAAAACGCGUGGUUUAGCGCGAUCGCUAUAGCUUUUGAGUCAUUUCUGUCGUUCCGGCAUGUGAUGGUUAGAGCUUCGGAAUUGUACACAGAAAGAUUGUUUUUUCAAAGAAAGGACUAGAGGAAGAGAUCCCUGAAAGCCAUUUCAUCAGCCAGAUGUCCUUUGUUUUCAAGAAUAUAAAGUAGAAAUUGUGAUCAAACAUGCUCAGUGUAGAUGCUAAAGUGCCUAGAAGUUUGUAAUUUAAAGCUGCGUUGAGAUGGCUUUUGUUUCAAAGAAUGUUUGUGAAACUCACAUGUUAAAUAAAUGCUGAAUAAAUUGAACUGUUGAUCCAAAACAUUCAAAGUGA